rfam:Chelonobacter oris strain 1662 contig000014, whole genome shotgun sequence.
AAUUUCCUGGGGUGUACGUCAGCGGAUUAAGUCCCUGAGCCGAUACUUAAAUUUUAUUGAGUCGGUCCCCCACUGUCGGUGUGCAAGCUCAGCUCGACUGAGAAGCCUUAAGGCGGUAUGACUGGCUCCCUUGAACCGUAGGGUUCAAGGACCGAUUAUUCGCAACGGCACUCCGGGUUCCUU